rnacentral:rRNA from 1 species
CCCUUAGACGUUCUGGGCCGCACGCGCGCUACACUGACCAGUGCAACAAGCAUCCGUCCUUGGCCGACAGGCUCGGGCAAUCUUUGAACGCUGGUCGUGAUGGGGAUAGACUUUUGCAAUUUUUGUUCUUCAACGAGGAAUUCCUAGUAAACGCAAGUCAUCAACUUGCAUUGAUUACGUCCCUGCCCUUUGUACACACCGCCCGUCGCACCUACCGAUUGAAUGGUCCGGUGAAGCCUCCGGAUUGGCGCGCACCUCGGUGCCGCCGAGAAGUUGGCUAAACCUUACCAUUUAGAGGAAGGUGAAGUCGUAACA